rnacentral:rRNA from 1 species
GACGAACGCUGGCGGCGUGCUUAACACAUGCAAGUCGAACGGACGAGUGAGAUAAGUUUACUUAACUCACAAGUUAGUGGCGGACGGGUGAGUAACACGUGGAUAAUCUACCUGCAACACCGGGAUAACGCUGUGAAAACGGUGCUAAUACCGGAUACGUUCCCUUGUGCGCAUGUAUGAGGGAAGAAAGCUCAGGCGGUUGCAGAUGAGUCCGCGGCUGAUUAGCUAGUUGGUGAGGUAAAGGCUCACCAAGGCGAUGAUCAGUAGCCGGCCUGAGAGGGUGAACGGCCACACUGGGACUGAGACACGGCCCAGACUCCUACGGGAGGCAGCAGUGGGGAAUCUUCCGCAAUGGGCGCAAGCCUGACGGAGCAACGCCGCGUGGGUGAAGAAGGCCUUCGGGUUGUAAAGCCCUGUCCUAUGGGAAGAAGUACAGUGACGGUACCAUAGGAGGAAGCCACGGCUAACUACGUGCCAGCAGCCGACGGUAAAACCACUGUACG